rnacentral:rRNA from 1 species
UACGUAGGGUGCAAGCGUUAAUCGGAAUUACUGGGCGUAAAGCGUGCGCAGGCGGUUAUGUAAGACAGUUGUGAAAUCCCCGGGCUCAACCUGGGAAUUGCAUCUGUGACUGCAUAGCUAGAGUACGGUAGAGGGGGAUGGAAUUCCGCGUGUAGCAGUGAAAUGCGUAGAUAUGCGGAGGAACACCGAUGGCGAAGGCAAUCCCCUGGACCUGUACUGACGCUCAUGCACGAAAGCGUGGGGAUCAAACAGG